rnacentral:misc_RNA from 1 species
GAUGAAGAACGUAGCGAAAUGCGAUAAGUAAUGUGAAUUGCAGAUUUCAGUGAAUCAUCGAAUCUUUGAACGCACCUUGCGCUCCUUGGUAUUCCGAGGAGCAUGCCUGUUUGAGUGUCAUUAAAUUCUCAACUCUCCAACUGUUGUCAUGACUGGUGGUAGAGCUUGGACGUGAGGGUUCUGCCGGCUCCUUGUUGAGCCUGGCUCCCUUGAAAAUGAUUAGCGCAGCUUUGCACUGUCCGCUUCAGGUGUGAUAAUUUAUCUACGCCCGACUAGCGACGCGCAUGAAUGGCUUUGUGCUUCUAACCGUCUCGAAAGAGACAAUACCUUUUGAACUUGACCUCAAAUCAGGUAGGACUACCCGCUGAACUUAAGCAUAUCAAUAAGCGGAGGA